AGGGCGCAGACAAGAAAGGCUCCCGAAAGCAACACGCCCCCUUCCCAAUCUCGUAAUCAUACCACUGCCGCGACUGUUACCCCACUAAUGCUCCCAGCUUAGCGGCAGGUAGAGAGCCAAGCAGAGGCUGCGUCGCAGCAGCCCGCGCCUCGAUCCCACGAACCCCACCUUUAUUUUAAGGGGCUGAUUGGUUCGUCUCCUCUGCUGGUUGCCUCUGUUCGAGCUGCAGAGGGAGAGGGAGGGAUCGAGGAGGACGAAUCAGAAAGGUGCUUGCAGGACAGUGGGUACAGCGGCAAUUAUUGUUUCAUCUUAUCUGCUGCAGCAAGUGGAAUCCAAGGGUUUACCAAACGCUGGGAGAGUAUGGGAAGAAGCUGCUAUCAAGUCUGAAGCUUAGCUUAGCACAUCAGUGUUGGAGGCAUGUAUAAGAACCAGCUCCAGGAGCUUGCUCAGAGGAGUUGCUUCAAUCUACCGUCCUAUGCAUGCAUCCGGGAGGGACCAGAUCAUGCGCCUCGGUUUAAGGCCACAGUUAAUUUCAAUGGAGAGACAUUCGAGAGCCCAGUGUUUUGUUCUACUUUGCGGCAGGCAGAGCAUGCAGCGGCUGAGGUAGCACUCAAUGAGUUAUCAAAGAGGGGGCCUUCAUCGACACUGGCUGCCAAAGUUCUGGAUGAAACAGGGAUAUACAAGAAUCUACUUCAAGAAACUGCUCAUCGAGCUGGUUUAAAACUUCCAGUGUACACUACUGUUAGAUCUGGGCCAGGUCACACACCUGUGUUCACAUGCACAGUGGAAUUGGCAGGAAAGACAUUUACUGGCAAUCCUGGCAAGACCAAGAAGCAAGCUCAAAAAAAUGCUGCAAUGGCUGCCUGGUCUGAACUGAAGCAAUUGCCCCGGGUAGGUGAGCCAUCGUUCUCAUCAUGUCCACUCGAUCGGGAUGAUGAGGAGCAUGAACAGGCCAUAGUUACUCGUACUCUUGCAAGCUUAAACCAGGCAAAUGGUGGUAAGAUGCCACAUCAAAAGGAAAAACAGCAAAGCAAUAACCGUCCUUCAUCACGAAGAUCUUAUCCUAAAUCAAAUCCUUCAUUCUACCGAUCACAUUUACCGAACCAGGCUUAUCCUAGUGUUCCACCGGAGCAAGCAAUGUACCAUAUGUGGCACCGGGUGCAAGCAACCCAACCAGCACCUAGUUUUCCAAUGGUACCAACUAUGGGUAAUACGAGGUUCCCACCACCAGCAGCUAUGCUCUCCAUGUACUCUUCACCUCGAGGGCAAUUCGCCACACCGGCCUGCCAAGAUGCACUAGGUCUUCUUCCAUGUUUUCCUGAAGGUGCUCCUGCCCUCCCAAGCUACUUCUCGCCUUACCCUGUCUCCUAUGUGCCAAGAAGUCCUGUGCCAGCUACUAUUCACAAAAUUCAUGAGAGAAGGCAAGAUCUUUCUGAAACAGUUGAGCUUCCUGAUGCCGUGGUCUUCUCCCAAUAUGGUGGUCCACACAAGUUUCAAGAAGCACCCAAAAAUGGGAAAGAAGACUGGACUGGUAGUAGUGCUUCCCCUGAGGAAGAAAUUAUUGCUCAUCUCAGUAUCUCAGGCUCAACCACACAUCCAUCAUCGCCAAUGUUGGAUCUGAAUGAAGAAAAAGAAACUUUGAGCAGUAAGCCAAAUAAGUCUCAAGAACAACAGCCGAAGUCAUCACCACCUUGGGUUAGCCCUUCAAUUCCCGCACACGUUUCUAUCCAGCGAAAGCAUUAUACUAGCUCUGUUCAGCAUGAUGAGCCCAUCCACAGAAAUGAUCCACCUCAAACGAGUCAGCCUUCGUUGCCAGAGUUGUGGUCUUCCCACUCAGCAGCUGCUACCAGAUCUGGAACUGCAGUCCCUGAAAAUUCACCAGGUCCUGUAUACCAGCAGCGACCUCCUUGGCUGGCUGCCCCUGUUACAGUCAGAACCGCCAUCCCAGUAUGUUCAGCUAGGCCGAACACGGUGAAUACAGCUUGUGGAGCAGCUCGAGUAAGACCGAUUGCCCAGAACCGCUUGGCCCUGGCUAGAGGUGAGCCAGAAACUCCCAAGAAUACGAAUAAUGGGGAAAGAGCCCUGAACAGGGAGCACCAAACUCAAUAAGCUCCAUGUCUGAGUCACAGUUUUGGUUCUGCUGAGCUAUAAGUUAGGUCUCAGAUUUGGCAGAAUCUCAGUUUAUGUUCCUCUUUUUCCCCCCCUUCUCAGUUAGGUACUGAACUCUUGAAAGAGUUGUGUGGGAGUCGUGCUUGCGGUCUCCACGCUGCCUUUAGAUUCUACAGAUAAUACCACGUCCUUAUCAAGAUAAAUUAAUGAGUUAUAAUAUAGAUAGAGAAUACAGUUUUUCCUUGUGUGCUGAAUGUUGAUUCCCAUUUUUUUUUUGCCAAUGUUGACAGAAUGCUGAAUUUUUGCAUGAGGGUUCAGUUUGCAUCUUUA